GAUGAACGCUGGCGGCGUGCCUAAUACAUGCAAGUCGAGCGAACAGACGAGGAGCUUGCUCCUCUGACGUUAGCGGCGGGCGGGUGAGUAACACGUGGAUAACCUACCUAUAAGACUGGGAUAACUUCGGGAAACCGGAGCUAAUACCGGAUAAUAUAUUGAACCGCAUGGUUCAAUAGUGAAAGACGGUUUUGCUGUCACUUAUAGAUGGAUCCGCGCUGCAUUAGCUAGUUGGUAAGGUAACGGCUUACCAAGGCAACGAUGCGUAGCCGACCUGAGAGGGUGAUCGGCCACACUGGAACUGAGACACGGUCCAGACUCCUACGGGAGGCAGCAGUAGGGAAUCUUCCGCAAUGGGCGAAAGCCUGACGGAGCAACGCCGCGUGAGUGAUGAAGGUCUUCGGAUCGUAAAACUCUGUUAUUAGGGAAGAACAAAUGUGUAAGUAACUAUGCACGUCUUGACGGUACCUAAUCAGAAAGCCACGGCUAACUACGU
rnacentral:rRNA from 1 species